ACAAUAUCUACCCUUAUUUUAUUUAUUCUAUCUACAACACUCUUUUGUUUUUGAGGAUCACAGAGUAUUCUAGUAUUUCAUACUAUCAGUUUCAUGUUGAAGAACAAUCAAGCUUACCUUCAGAAGCAGUGGUUCUUGCUUUAACCUUCUUUCUCUUAUCAAGUGGGCCUUUCUUCUUGCAUUUCAAGACUUUCAUACAAUCAACGACUGUCAUAACAUAUAAGUCCAAAAGCUUAAUCACAUGACUUAAAAAGAGUUACCAUCAAAUUUUUUUAUACGUUAUCUUUAAAAUGUAGAUUUUAGUCUAUAAAAUCAAACUAAAUCUAGAAGUACAAUUAUAUAUGAGAAAAAUUAUAACAUCCUCAUAAUACCCAUUAAAAGAUGAUACAUAUUAUUUCUUGUUAUCCAUUGAGCUUUUAAAAAUUUUUUACUAAAUAAUUAAUUAUUGAAAAUUGUUUUUAAUUGACUUCAAUACUUAUGGUAGAAAAUUAAAAGAAUUCAUUACUUUAAGAGCAUAUAAGAAAAUCAUUGUUUCUCUUAUAGAGGUUCUGUCAUCGAAUUAUUUAGUAUUUUAAAAAUUAAAUUUUAAAAAAAAAUUGAUACUUCAACAUUUUUCUAAAAAUUCUUUUUUAAAAAAAUUUUGAAAUUAAUAUUUUAUUUAAAAAAAUUUUGAUACUUUCAACUUUUUUCUCAAAUAUUUUUGAAAUAUUUUUUUAUUUAAGGAAAAUUGAUAUUUCAACUUUCCCUUAAAACAUUUUCUCUAAAUUUUUUUUUUCGUUAAGGAAAAUUAAUACUUUAACUUUCCCUAAAAACUUUUUUUUAGAAUGUUUUUAUUUAAGGAAAAUUGAUGCUUUAACUUUUUGUCAAUACAUUUUUUUGAAAUAUUUUUUAUUUAAAAAAAAUUAAUACUUCAACUUUUCAUUAAAAUAUUUUUUGAAAAUUUUUUAUUUUAAGAAAACCAUACUUCAACUUAACCCUAAAUCAUUUUUUUGAAAUAAUUUUUCUUUAAGAAAAAUCAAUACUUCAAUUUUUUCUUAAAACGUUUUUUGGAAUUUUUUUAUAAAAUUUUUUAUUUAAAGGAAAAUUGGCAUUCAUCAUUUUUAGAAUUAUUUUUAUUUUUUUUUUCGAAAAAAAAUUCACUCAAAAAAAUUAAAUAAUAAGUAAUAUAACAAAAAGAACAGAAAAAUACCAUAAACAAUUACCGCUCGGCUUUAAGAAAUCGGCUUGGAUCGGUUGGCUCUAGACUCAAGAGCUGCCUAAAGGCUCGACGGCUUAGCUUCUGCUAGGAAAUGGCUUCACAGCUCAAAAUCAAAUUUGUGGAGCAGGUCGCAACUGGGUUGGGUCUUCAAAUGGACUAGUGUGCGGAUCUUGAAGCGGCUCAAGAGGAACCCAGUUUUUCUUACCCAAAACAACAUCAUUUUCUUUACUGUAUAAAAGCCCCUUUUAAAGUUCUUUUUCUCAUUUUCAUAUUUUAACUUUCUCUCUCUAAGAACUAUUUUUACUUUUCUCUCUCUAGGUUUCAAAUGAACAAGGUAAUUCUUCAAGCCUUCCUUAAAAAUAUGUGAUACUCCGUCGCCGUAGCUGUCACAUACCACCGAUCGUUGGCUGUUCCCCAGUGGCCGAAAAUGUUCUAAAAAAUAUGCACGAGCUUGUCACGGCCUUUUCUUUCACGUGCCCUAAUUGGUUUCUCUAAAAACUUGUUAGGCUUUUGUCGAUUUGAGCUUGAAGUCGCAGUUUUCCCUCUUUUCUCUGUCGCUCUGAUGGCCGCCUCCUUUAGGUAUGUUCUUCCUCUUCUUCUUGGCUAACUUCUCAGCAAGUUUUGAAUUCCAAAACUAUGUUGAACCAGUCAAGUUAAAAACCCAAAUUUACUUUUCUUUUUUUUUUUUCUUUACAACUAUUUGAAUUUUGAUUUCUGGACUUGUGUGUAUUUUUUUUGUUUGCUGCCAGGCCUGGUUUCUUUGGAUGGUUGUUGGUAAUUGGUGGGUUAGGUUUUUUAUUUGGGUUGUUUGCGUUAAAUAUAUGUUUUUGGCUUUGCUUGGUUUUGGUAGGUGUCGAUUUCGUGAAGAUCUAAUAGUAAGGCAGUAAAGUAGUCGAGGCUGGCACCGUGAUCUCGGUUGGGAUUGAGAUUAUGGCAAAAGGUUUGUGAUUUAGAUGGAAAUGGAUUUUGCAGGGGGCGUAUCGCAUCUAUGUGAUUUUCGAUUAUAGAGGCUGGAAUUUAUGGUUGUUCUGGUCGUGGCUGACUAAUGAUGGUGAGGACAAUUUGGUAACUGGCUGACCAAUGAUGGUGAGGAGGAAUUGGUAACUGGGUAAUGGGCUAAGGCUAGUUUGGAGAUGGUGCACUGGCCUCUAAGGAUGAUCCGUUGCAAUUAAGGCAGUGGACUGUCUUGAAUUUUGGAGUUGAAGGUGCUGGUGGUGAAGAUUGAUUUUUCUCUGGUUGUGCCUUUGAUUGGCUGUUUAUGGGGUUAAUGGUAGUGGCAAUGGUGGACAUAACUGGAUUUGAUCAAAAUUUUACUGUUGUGAUUGGCUUAUGUGGGAUGGGUUGUUUUCUGGCAUUGGCACAGAGAUGAUGGUGGGAUGGAAAGUUGUGAUGGUAGAUAUGGUUGGGCUAUGGUGAAUUAGAGAUAGUUAGAUGCUAAAUUGAGAAUGAUGGCAGUGCUGAUCAGGGGAUUUUUCUCUGGCUGAUUGCUUUUUCUGUAAUGGUUUAUUCCUUUGGUUUUUCUAUGUGAUUUUUCUCUAAUUUUUUCGUAUUGACUUGUAUAUCUUCUGGAAGUGAAUUGCAAGUCCAUUUGUAAUUAAGGUUUGCAGAGUUUCAAAUUGUCUUGGAUUCAAUUUCCAAAAGCUUUGCAUUAUCAUCAAGAAAAAUUCAUAUUCAAACUUAAAUCCAGUUUCUAUCUUUUCUCAGCUCUAUCACCAAUUCCUCCUCCUAGUUAAUUCGGUCAUUCAGUCUUUAUUUUAAAAGUUCUCUCUUUAAAAAAAAUAAUCAAAUAAUAAUUAAAAAUGUUUAAAUGAAAUUAAAGUUAAAGAUAAACCCUAAUGAAAAUUUAGGCAGAUAAAGUAAAGAAAAGAAUAAAAAAG
rnacentral:lncRNA from 1 species